UACGGAGGGGGCUAGCGUUGUUCGGAAUUACUGGGCGUAAAGCGCGCGUAGGCGGACCUGCAAGUCGGGGGUGAAAGCCCGAGGCUCAACCUCGGAACUGCCUUCGAUACUGCGGGUCUCGAGUCCGGGAGAGGUGAGUGGAAUUCCUAGUGUAGAGGUGAAAUUCGUAGAUAUUAGGAAGAACACCAGUGGCGAAGGCGGCUCACUGGCCCGGUACUGACGCUAAGACUCGAAAGCGUGGGGAGCAAACAGG
rnacentral:rRNA from 1 species